GAAAUUCCUAAAUACGACGCUCUGCCAUCAUUGAGAUCGCUCGAAAAGGUAAAGACCAAGCAGACAGAGUUGUCCCUUUCUGGAAUACUUCACAGCAUUUGGAAGAAGAAAAGGCAAAGUGGCAAAGGUGUGGGCCUCCAUGAACUGGAGCAGCUGGUCACAGCUGGGACCUUCCCAUGAACUCCCACACCCUCAUGUCCAAACUGGACCGCAAGGGGGAGCGCUUGGACGUUUAAGGAAUGACUUUCUCCCCCUCUGUGCCAAACUAAGUAAUUGUUGGACACUCCCAACAACUUCACCUCAGCUCCUCCCUGAGUCGAACCCGAAAGAUAGAAAGACAGAGAAAAAAGGAGGAGGAGGGGCGAGCGAGAUGAAAUGUGUUUUAACGAUGGCAGAGAUCCCACUCCUGCACAGUUACAUUCUCAUGUUUGUGGAGGAGCUGAGGCCUUGAAGUAGCUGCAGCAGCAGCAGACAGUCGCUGGAGGAAAUCAAAGAUGGCUGCAAAGCUCCACAUCAUCAGACUUUUUCUCUUCUUUCAACCACAUGAAACGGGCAAUGAUGUUGAAUCCCGUGAAAUACUCCAUAUCUUUAGAUAUGAAAAGACAGGAUUAUCUUUCAUGAACAUUUAUCAGAAAAAAAACAGUGUGAAGAAUUCAAUUUAAGUCUGAAAAUAAAGAGUCAAUAAAAGAUUUGAAAGCACUUUCAAAACACAAGAUUACAAAGGUCCAAAGCUUAUUAUUUGAUAAAAUCUAAUGCAGUAGCUAUCUGCAAAUGUUUUUUAGGGAGCAAAGCCUCUUUUCUCAAAAAUGUCAGGGUGUCCUGUGGGUCGAGGAGUUUAUCACGGAGAGAAGACAGCUAGUUAAAGUGAACUCCAGAUGCAGAUCUGCUGCUUGAUAAAGGGUAACUAUUGUUUCUGGUCAAGUCAAAGGCAGCGAGCGGAGAAAUGAUGAUUGAAUAUAAACAUAAUCGAAACACUUUAAAAUAAUGCCUGAUUAGUCACUUUUUUUAACAUGAAGAUUUUUUUUUAAAUUCAUCAGCCAUUUUGAAUCCA